rnacentral:lncRNA from 1 species
GCCGUACUCUUACAGCAGCACAUUGCUGCCCUUUGACCGCUGCAGCGGGGGAUUCCCAAGGCAGGUUGUAAUUGGGGUCUCCUAUCAGAAACCACGGGUUCCCUCUGUAAUAUCAUGUGUGUUCUCUUCUUUCCAGAUGAUCAUGGGAACAGCAAUGGCAGUCAUGUAAAAAUCUUUUUACCGAAGAAGCUGCUCGAAUGUCUACCAAAAUGUUCAAGUUUACCCAAGGAGAGGCACCGCUGGAACACUAAUGAGAGAUCUUGAUGCAGACGUCCUUUUGGAUUUCUUUUUAAUAAUGUGUGACCCUUCACCUUUGACCCCCUGACCUGCAUUACUUUGGUGUAUCUUUUCUGCUGUGAAGGUGUGCUGGUGGCUUUUCUCAAAUAAAAACGAUUUUGGUUGUUGUAAGAAGAAAUAAAGUUUGUGCUCCUCAUUGGCUUUUGCUUUUUAAGUUCAACGCUGUGCAUUUCCCUGUAUCCCAGCACAUCGCUUCUGCCUUGUGUUCUCCCAAGACUUUAUCUGAUUUAUGUUGUCAUUUCUGUACAUCGUUGCUUUGAACUUGCAUUUCUCUACGUUUCUUUUGGUCAGUAAUACAUACGUGAUGUUUGCUGUGGUUUUUCUCUUUGCUGGUCAGCUUUUGGUAGCUCACAGCAAUCACAGGGGAUUUAAGAUUCUCUUCUGAAUAAAAAAUAUUUGUCGUUGUUACAGUUCUGUUCCAUGUCCUGGAGAUGACUGUUCGUAAUGCUCAGCUGAAAACCAAUAGCUGUUCUAAUAAAGGCAUUUGAG